UAUACGACCGUACCGCAAGCCGACACUGGUGCGCGAGAUGAGUAUUCUAAGGCGCUUGAGAGAACUCAGGAGAAGGAACUCGGCAAAUUGACACCGUAACUUCGGAAGAUGGUGUGCCCUAUUAGUGUGUAGUGAACAACGAAGCAUGAAUGGGUUGCAAAAAAUCGGUGGCUGCGACUGUUUAUUAAAAACACAGCACUCUGCAAACACGAAAGUGGACGUAUAGGGUGUGACGCCUGCCCGGUGCUGGAAGAUUAAAUGAUGGGGUGCAAGCUCUUGAUUGAAGUCCCAGUAAACGGCGGCCGUAACUAUAACGGUCCUAAGGUAGCGAAAUUCCUUGUCGGGUAAGUUCCGACCUGCACGAAUGGCGUAACGAUGGCCACACUGUCUCCUCCUGAGACUCAGCGAAGUUGAAAUGUUUGUGAUGAUGCAAUCUCCCCGCGGAAAGACGGAAAGACCCCAUGAACCUUUACUGUAGCUUUGUAUUGGACUUUGAACAGAUCUGUGUAGGAUAGGUGGGAGGCUUUGAAGCAGGGUCGCUAGAUCUUGUGGAGCCAACGUUGAAAUACCACCCUGGUGUGUUUGAGGUUCUAACCUAGGUCCAUUAUCUGGAUCGGGGACAGUGCAUGGUAGGCAGUUUGACUGGGGCGGUCUCCUCCCAAAGCGUAACGGAGGAGUUCGAAGGUACGCUAGUUACGGUCGGACAUCGUGACGAUAGUGCAAUGGCAUAAGCGUGCUUAACUGCGAGACUGACAAGUCGAGCAGAUGCGAAAGCAGGACAUAGUGAUCCGGUGGUUCUGUAUGGAAGGGCCAUCGCUCAACGGAUAAAAGGUACUCUGGGGAUAACAGGCUGAUACCGCCCAAGAGUUCAUAUCGACGGCGGUGUUUGGCACCUCGAUGUCGGCUCAUCUCAUCCUGGGGCUGUAGCCGGUCCCAAGGGUAUGGCUGUUCGCCAUUUAAAGAGGUACGUGAGCUGGGUUUAAAACGUCGUGAGACAGUUUGGUCCCUAUCUUCCGUGGGCGCUGCAGAUUUGAGGAAGCCUGCUCCUAGUACGAGAGGACCGGAGUGGACACACCUCUGGUGUAUCGGUUGUCACGCCAGUGGCAUUGCCGAGUAGCUAAGUGUGGAAGAGAUAACCGCUGAAAGCAUCUAAGCGGGAAACUCGUUUCAAGAUGAGAUCUGCCGGGGCCUUGAGCCCCCUAAAGAGUCGUUCAAGACCAGGACGUUGAUAGGUCAGGUGUGGAAGC
rnacentral:rRNA from 1 species